rnacentral:ncRNA from 1 species
ACCUGCGCGGCUGUUCCAGGUGCUCGGCGAUCAGGCGAUUGGCGCGAGUGAAACAGGGAAGCCGGUGCGCAGCGUUUACGCGCCAUGCCGGCGCUGCCCCCGCAACGGUAGACGAGUCAAGGCUGCACAGGAUGCCACUGAAGCGAUUCGGGAAGGCGUGUGGCCCGGGUGUACAAACCCCGCUCGUGAGCCCGGAGACCGGCCUGGUGCACUUUUUAUGG